rnacentral:rRNA from 1 species
GACGAACGCUGGCGGCGUGCUUAACACAUGCAAGUCGAACGCUGAAGCCCUGGCUUUUGUUGGGUUGGAUGAGUGGCGAACGGGUGAGUAACACGUGAGUAACCUGCCCUCUUCUUUGGGAUAACGCCCGGAAACGGGUGCUAAUACUGGAUAUUCACUGGCCUUCGCAUGGGGGUUGGUGGAAAGGUUUGUUCUGGUGGGGGAUGGGCUCGCGGCCUAUCAGCUUGUUGGUGGGGUGAUGGCCUACCAAGGCUUUGACGGGUAGCCGGCCUGAGAGGGUGACCGGUCACAUUGGGACUGAGAUACGGCCCAGACUCCUACGGGAGGCAGCAGUGGGGAAUAGUGCACAAUGGGCGAAAGCCUGAUGCAGCGACGCCGCGUGAGGGAUGGAGGCCUUCGGGUUGUAAACCUCUUUCGCUCAUGGUCAAGCCGCAACUGUGGGUUGUGGUGAGGGUAGUGGGUAAAGAAGCGCCGGCUAACUACGUG